UNUGACUUGAGUGCAGAAGGGGAGAGUGGAAUNCCAUGUGUAGCGGUGAAAUGCGUAGAUAUAUGGAGGANCACCAGUGGCGAAAGCGGCUCUCUGGUCUGUCACUGACGCUGAGGCUCGAAAGCGUGGGUAGCGAACAGGAUUAGAUACCCUGGUAGUCCACGCCGUAAACGAUGAGUGCUAGGUGUUAGGCCCUUUCCGGGGCUUAGUGCCGGAGCUAACGCAAUAAGCACUCCGCCUGGGGAGUACGACCGCAAGGUUGAAACUCAAAGGAAUUGACGGGGGCCCGCACAAGCGGUGGAGCAUGUGGUUUAAUUCGAAGCAACGCGAAGAACCUUACCAGGUCUUGACAUCCCGAUGCUAUUCUUAGAGAUAGGAAGUUACUUCGGUACAUCGGAGACAGGUGGUGCAUGGUUGUCGUCAGCUCGUGUCGUGAGAUGUUGGGUUAAGUCCCGCAACGAGCGCAACCCUUAUUGUUAGUUGCCAUCAUUAAGUUGGGCACUCUAGCGAGACUGCCGGUAAUAAACCGGAGGAAGGUGGGGAUGACGUCAAAUCAUCAUGCCCCUUAUGACCUGGGCUACACACGUGCUACAAUGGUCGGUACAACGAGUUGCGAGCCGGUGACGGCAAGCUAAUCUCUGAAAGCCGAUCUCAGUUCGGAUUGGAGGCUGCAACUCGCCUCCAUGAAGUCGGAAUCGCUAGUAAUCGCGGAUCAGCACGCCGCGGUGAAUACGUUCCCGGGCCUUGUACACACCGCCCGUCACACCACGAGAGUUUGUAACACCCGAAGUCGGUGAGGUAACCUUUUAGG
rnacentral:rRNA from 1 species